rnacentral:lncRNA from 1 species
UCAACCCCAAGCCUCAACAAGGCAUCGCCUCCACCCUUGUGGACUAUCUAGAAAAGCUGAUCGUGAAAUUCGGCCACGAUUCCACUCUGCCUCUCCACUAUCUCUCUGGCAAUUUUGCUCCUACUGACGAGUCUCCUCCGGCCAAAGACCUCCUCGUCAAAGGACAUCUUCCUGUAAGUAAUACCUCCAUGGAUUCCUCAGUGAUUGGCAAUUUUGAUUUCCGUGAUUUCUGGACAGUCUUCAAAUGCUACUGUUGACGUUGGCUGGAACCGCAAAACUUGCAAGUAUAAAUUAGGAGCCAAUCCGAUGUUUAUUUCCUUUUUGAUUGCUCCUCAUGCAAUCAUUCUAUUUGACUUCAAUAAAAACGUUCCUGGGAAUGAAUUAUUUUUACAGAACCAUGGAUAUCCCAUUGGAAAACUCAAUUGUGUUUUGAUUUUGAUUCAUUUUGGUUUUGGUUUUGGUUUGCAGGAAUGCUUGAAUGGUGAGUUUGUGAGAGUAGGUCCUAACCCUAAGCUUUCCCCUGUGGCUGGAUACCACUGGUAUGUUCUUUUAAUAUAGGACUGCUGGGACAAUACUCUUUUCAUUUUCCUUGUAUAAGCUAGCAUAAUGAGGUUGUUGACUUAUUUCUUUGGGUUGCUGUUUUUGCAGGUUUGAUGGAGAUGGGUAUGUUUUUCUUAUUGUUUGUACUGGAGCGUGGGAUAUGAUGCUGAAUUUACUAGAAUGUGGUUUUAUAGAUGUGUUGUUCAAUUUUCAGAAUGAUCCAUGGAAUGCGUAUCAAAGAUGGGAAGGCAACAUACGUCAGCCGCUAUGUUAAGACAUCUCGCCUUCAGCAAGAACAAUUUUAUGGACGUCCCAAAUUCAUGAAGGUAUUUGAUUGCAUGAGAGGAAGAAUUUAGGAGUUCUAGAGAAAGAUUUUGUGCUCUGAUAAAUGGAAAUUAAAUGCUCGUUUCUGUUUGACUUUUGCCUCCUGUAUGGAGUUAUGUGCAUGACGUAGCUUAAAAGUAGUUUCUUGGUCACUAUGCUAACAAAUUUUGUUAAGCAUUACUACGUGGCUCCACUGAAGUUAGUUUAAUUUCACUUCUACUCAGAAAAUGCUCCCAAGUUUUCAGUAUAAUUUACAAUUCAUAUCUUCUUCUUUCGAAUGGUACUCCCAAACAAUCCUGCAGUCCAUAAUAUUCUUAAUAGCAAACACAUAAUAAUAUUUAACUAAUAAAUUUCAUAAGAUUCUCCAAAAUCCGUUAUUAUUUAUAUUAUCGUGCUAACGUUUUCCUCCGUUUAGCGACACGUGGCCGAACGUACUCCAGUGGUCUCCAGCAGAGGACAUCAGUAUAACAACUCCCACACUUUCCAUUCCACUCAUCUUUCUCCGCCACUGCCGGAAACAAACAAACCAAUAUGGCGGACAAAAUCCUGCUCCAUGAGCAAGAGCCGGAGAAGAAGCAGGGCUACGCCGGCGGUCCAGCGAUAGUCGCCGUCAACCCCAAGCCUCAACAAGGCAUCGCCUCCACCCUUGUGGACUAUCUAGAAAAGCUGAUCGUGAAAUUCGGCCACGAUUCCACUCUGCCUCUCCACUAUCUCUCUGGCAAUUUUGCUCCUACUGACGAGUCUCCUCCGGCCAAAGACCUCCUCGUCAAAGGACAUCUUCCUGUAAGUAAUACCUCCAUGGAUUCCUCAGUGAUUGGCAAUUUUGAUUUCCGUGAUUUCUGGACAGUCUUCAAAUGCUACUGUUGACGUUGGCUGGAACCGCAAAACUUGCAAGUAUAAAUUAGGAGCCAAUCCGAUGUUUAUUUCCUUUUUGAUUGCUCCUCAUGCAAUCAUUCUAUUUGACUUCAAUAAAAACGUUCCUGGGAAUGAAUUAUUUUU